rnacentral:rRNA from 1 species
UAUCCGCCUGGGUACUACAAGCCUAGCUUGAAACCCAAAGGACUUGGCGGUGCUUAAGAUCCACCUAGAGGAGCCUGUUCUAGAACCGAUAACCCCCGUUAAACCUCACCCCUCUUAGCCCAUACCGCCUAUAUACCGCCGUCGUCAGCCUACCCUGUGAAGGCCUCAUAGUAAGCACAAUUGGCUCACCCCAAAACGUCAGGUCGAGGUGUAGCAUAUAGAGGGGGAAGAAAUGGGCUACAUUCUCUACUUACAGAGUAUACGAAAAGUGGUCUGAAACCCCCAUUAGAAGGAGGAUUUAGUAGUAAGGAAUAAAUAGAGCGUAAACCUGAAAUCGGCCCUAAAGCGCGUACACACCGCCCGU